rnacentral:rRNA from 1 species
UACGUAGGGGGCGAGCGUUACCCGGAUUUACUGGGCGUAAAGCGCGUGUAGGCGGCUGGUCAAGCGUGGUGUGAAAUCUCCGGGCUCAACCCGGAAACUGCAUUGCGAACUGACCUAGCUGGAGUGCAGGAGAGGGCAGCGGAAUUCCCGGUGUAGCGGUGAAAUUCGUAGAUAUCGGGAGGAACACCAGUGGCGAAGGUGGCGAUCUGGGAAGAUACUGACGCUGAGGUGCGAAAGCGUGGGGAGCAAACAGG